rnacentral:misc_RNA from 1 species
GUAUCCCUUCGCUGCCAACCUUUCCGACUCCGACUUCGCGUCAAAAAUGAACCGUUCACGUGUGGUUGAGAUCGCUGAGGCGGAGACUGGCUCCACCUCACCAUCUUUAAUGAUCCUUCCGCAGGUUCACCUACGGAAA